rnacentral:rRNA from 1 species
AAUGAACGCUGGCGGCAGGCUUAACACAUGCAAGUCGAGGGGCAGCAGGUCUGUAGCAAUACAGAUGCUGGCGACCGGCAAACGGGUGCGGAACACGUACAGAACCUUCCUUCGAGUGGGAGAUAGCCCAGGGAAACUUGGAGUAAUACCCCAUAGGAUAGUAGAGUGGCAUCACUUAGCUAUUAAAGAUUCAUCGCUCGAAGAUGGCUGUGCGGCUGAUUAGGUAGUUGGCGGGGUAAUGGCCCACCAAGCCUUCGAUCAGUAACUGGUGUGAGAGCACGACCAGUCACACGGGCACGGAGACACGGGCCCGACUCCUACGGGAGGCAGCAGUAAGGAAUAUUGGGCAAUGGAGGCAACUCUGACCCAGCCAUGCCGCGUGGAGGAUGAAGGUCCUCUGGAUUGUAAACUUCUUUUAUUUGGGAAGAAAUGCCGACUUUCUAGUUGGUUUGACGGUACCAGAUGAAUAAGCACCGGCUAACUCCGUGCCAGCCGCCGCUGUAAGAC